CCCGCUGAAUUUAAGCAUAUCACUAAGCGGAGGAGAAGAAACUAACCAGGAUGCCCCUAGUAAUGGCGAAUGAAGCGGGCAUAGCUCACGCCGCCAAUCUGGAGGUCGCCUCAGCUGACCCCCCGAAUUGUAGUCUAGAAAGGCGCCAUCGGCCGCGUCCGCCGCUCAAAUCCCUUGGAACGGGGUAUCGGAGAAGGUGAGAAUCCUGUGCCGUGGCGGUUCGCGGUCGCACGAUGCGUCCUUGCCGAGUCGGGUUGCUUGGGAUUGCAGCUUGAAGUGGGUGGUAAAUUCCAUCUAAAGCUAAAUACUGGCGAGAGACCGAUAGCGAACAAGUACCGUGAGGGAAAGAUGCAAAGAACUUUGAAAAGAGAGUUAAAGAGUGCUUGAAAUCGGCGAGAGGAAACCCGUUUGCGCCCGGUAUCGCGCCGUCGACUCAGCCGGUCCUCGGAUCGGUGCACUUUGUCGGCGCGGGUCAUCCUGGGCUGCGUGGGCGGGAGAUGCCCGGUGGGAGGGCUUCGGCGAUCCACCGGGAGCGCCGCGCGUGCGGCUCCGGCUGACUUACCCGGCGCAACCGACCCGUCUUGAA
rnacentral:rRNA from 1 species